CCCUAUGGGGUGCAGCAGGAAAAGGCACUUUCGGCACGGAGGAGCUGGUCCGUCGCCUGCAGUCCAGCGGCCUGGAGCGGGUGGUGAAGCAUCGCCGGCUCAUACUGCCGCAGCUUGCAGCCCCCGGAGUCGCCGCCCAUGAGGUUCGAAAACGGACGGGUUUUACCGUGUCUUACGGUCCUGUAGAGGCCCGGGACAUCCCCGCCUACCUGGACGCCGGAAUGAAGGCGACGGAGGCCAUGCGCCGGAAAACAUUCCCCUUCCGGGACCGGCUUGUUCUGAUUCCCAUGGAAUGGGCGCCUGCCUUGAAGCCCUUGAUUCUGUUGUCCCUCUUCUUUCUUCUGGCUGGUGGGGUGGCGGGAGGGC
rnacentral:rRNA from 1 species